rnacentral:rRNA from 1 species
CAAUAGCGUAUAUUAAAGUUGUUGCAGUUAAAAAGCUCGUAGUUGGAUUUCGGGGCAGCCUGGCUGGUCCGCCGCAAGGCGAGUACUGGUCAGCCGCCCUUCCUCUCGAAAGCCCCGACUGCUCUUCGUUACAGUGGUCGGGUAGUUCGGGACGUUUACUUUGAAAAAAUUAGAGUGUUCAAGGCAGGCCUACGCCUGAAUACAUUAGCAUGGAAUAAUGGAAGAGGACCUCGGUCCUAUUUUGUUGGUUUCCAGGGCCGAAGUAAUGAUUAAGAGGGACAGUUGGGGGCAUUCGUAUUUAAUUGUCAGAGGUGAAAUUCUCGGAUUUAUGAAAGACGAACAACUGCGAAAGCAUUUGCCAAGGAUGUUUUCAUUAA